UACAGAGGGUGCAAGCGUUAAUCGGAAUUACUGGGCGUAAAGGGUGUGUAGGUGGUUACGUAAGUUAGGUGUGAAAGUCCUGGGCUUAACCUGGGGACGGCGCUUAAUACUGUGUAGCUAGAGUACUGUAGAGGGAAGUGGAAUUUCCGGUGUAGCGGUGAAAUGCGUAGAUAUCGGAAGGAACACCAGUGGCGAAGGCGACUUCCUGGACAGAUACUGACACUGAGGCACGAAAGCAUGGGGAGCAAACAGG
rnacentral:rRNA from 1 species